UGGGGAAUUUUGGACAAUGGGCGCAAGCCUGAUCCAGCAAUGCCGCGUGAGUGAAGAAGGCCUUCGGGUUGUAAAGCUCUUUUGUCAGGGAAGAAACGGUUGUGGCUAAUAUCCAUGGCUAAUGACGGUACCUGAAGAAUAAGCACCGGCUAACUACGUGCCAGCAGCCGCGGUAAUACGUAGGGUGCAAGCGUUAAUCGGAAUUACUGGGCGUAAAGCGUGCGCAGGCGGUUAUAUAAGUCAGAUGUGAAAUCCCCGGGCUCAACCUGGGAACUGCAUUUGAGACUGUAUGGCUAGAGUGUGUCAGAGGGGGGUAGAAUUCCACGUGUAGCAGUGAAAUGCGUAGAUAUGUGGAGGAAUACCGAUGGCGAAGGCAGCCCCCUGGGAUAACACUGACGCUCAUGCACGAAAGCGUGGGGAGCAAACA
rnacentral:rRNA from 1 species